UGUGGGUGAAGUGAGCCACAACUUGCUGUGCCGGCAGUCAGUGGUUUCACCCACUGCGCCAUCGACACGAUACAUAAGGCCACAUUCAUAGGAAGCACCAGAGGUUUGUGCUGCUUUUGGAUGUUGUACUGAAAGAAACUAUUGUUGAUUCUCCGACAGUCUACAAAAGCCUGAGAUUGAAGGUCAUGACUAAGACUAAGAACCUCAGUGUCAGUGGAAUGUCUUCUGAAACCAGCAAGCUGAGCAAUAAGCUCAUAGAGGUGGAGGAGGCAACACAGAGAAAGGUGUGAUGAACAGACAGACAUAGAUAUUGGAAAGUUCAUUCUUUAUUGAUUCUUUUAACAUAGUUACACACGUCCAUAGUUACAUCCACAUACAUGCACAAAUGCUCUGUGGGUCCUUCGGCCCUAAAUGCUGUCUGCCUAGUGAGGUACAUCAUGAAAGCCACGGCUGGGGGAGCCAGGACACCAGGGUUAGGGGGAGAUAGCAUCCUCCCCACAAGAUUGAAGAAGGUUGAAGAAGACACUGUCUAGGACUAAGAUAAAUUUAGACGCCAUGGCUUCGUGAUGGUGUCCUCCUGUAACCAGCAAGCAGGAAACAUGGUAGAGGAGAGAAAGGAGUGGGUUAUCUGUGGUAGAGGUAAGGAAGGAGGUUAGAGAGGACAAAGAUAGGAGAUCUGGUAGGAGGUUAGAGAACAUACCAGAUCCCCUGCUUUUUAAAAAAAAAUAUAUCUUUUGUUUUAUCCACUGACAGACUUCCUAGUUUGAUGGUAUUUUAAGACAGCAGCUGUAAGGUGUUCAUAUUAACAUCUGUAUUAGUGCUUUCACUCUGCAUUUGUAUGCACCACGUUUGUACAAAGGGUCAGAAUGAACUGUAAUGUAACAGUUUCACUUACUGUAUGAUAAUGAAGCUUUAGUAAAAACUUCCAGUGUUCUAUCUGCAAUGUUUAUGGCAAACACUGUCAUAACAUAGUGAUUGACCUUCAUCGCUCUCAGGUGAAACACAGCAAGUUGAUAGUACAGCUGGCAAAUAGAAUUAUCUUUUAAUUCACUGUGGAUAAACGUGUAAGCAACUUUGAGUAGCCGAUUGAGUUAACCCUAAAUGUCUUGUGACACAUCCUGAUCCUUCAAAUGGCUAAAAACCAGGCAUCUACGGCUCUGGGGUUCUUCCUUGAACCUGCAAGGAAACCAGACUUUCCAUCCAGGUACACAGUCUUGUUUUGCUUUUGAUAUAAACAUUUAAUUCUUCUGUGCACUUAAAAUGACUGAAAAUCCACAUGUCUGAAAAGCAGGAGUAACUACUAUGAAGCCUAAUUCUCAAAACUUGUAGAAUAUUUGUAUAAUACCUAAAACACAGCGCAUCUUUUUGUCACAAAUCCUGAUCCUCCAAAUGGCCAAAAACAAGGCAUCCAUGGCUCUGAGGUUUCUCCUUGAAACUGCAAAGAAACCUGACGUUCCAUCCAGCCAGACUGCUAGAGCCACAGCUGUGGAAAAUGGGAUGACUCCCUCAUGAAGACAUUGAGGGGGACCAUUUUCCCAGAUGUGCAUCAUGCUGGAGUACAGUGAAGAACCAAGAGACCUGAACAUGACAGAUUUAUAGUUGUAAUAGUUUUAUUGAAGAAAAACAAAUUAAAAACUGCCUGGAACAAGGCCAGAAAUGUUGUAAA